CUGGCUCAGGAUGAACGCUGGCGGCGUGCCUAACACAUGCAAGUCGAACGGAACUAAGCGCUUCGGAGACUUCGGUCAAUGUUUGCUUGGGUUUAGUGGCGGACGGGUGAGUAACGCGUGGAUAACCUGCCUCAUACAGGGGGAUAACAGUUAGAAAUGACUGCUAAUACCGCAUAAGCGCACGGGAUCGCAUGGUCUUGUGUGAAAAACUCCGGUGGUAUGAGAUGGAUCCGCGUCUGAUUAGCUAGUUGCGGGGUAACAGCCCACCAAGGCGACGAUCAGUAGCCGGCCUGAGAGGGUGAACGGCCACAUUGGGACUGAGACACGGCCCAAACUCCUACGGGAGGCAGCAGUGGGGGAUAUUGCACAAUGGGGGAAACCCUGAUGCAGCCGACGCCGCGUGAGUGAAGAAGUAUUUCGGUAUGUAAAGCUCUAUCAGCAGGGAAGAUAAUGACGGUACCUGACUAAGAAGCACCGGCUAAAUACGUGCCAGCCGCUGC
rnacentral:rRNA from 1 species